GAUGAACGCUGGCGGCGUGCCUAAUACAUGCAAGUCGAGCGAACAGACGAGGAGCUUGCUCCUCUGACGUUAGCGGCGGACGGGUGAGUAACACGUGGAUAACCUACCUAUAAGACUGGGAUAACUUCGGGAAACCGGAGCUAAUACCGGAUAAUAUAUUGAACCGCAUGGUUCAAUAGUGAAAGACGGUUUUGCUGUCACUUAUAGAUGGAUCCGCGCCGCAUUAGCUAGUUGGUAAGGUAACGGCUUACCAAGGCAACGAUGCGUAGCCGACCUGAGAGGGGGAGCGGCCACAGUGGAAAUGAGACACGGUCCAGAGUCCUACGGGAGGCAGCAGUAGGGAAGCUUACGAAAAGGGCGAAAGACUGAAGGAGCAAUGACGAGUGAGUGAUGAAGGUCUUCGGAUCGUAAAACUCUGUGAUUAGGGAAGAACAUAAGUGUAAGAAAAUGUGCACAUCUUGACGGUACCUAAUCAGAAAGCCACGGCUAAGUACGUG
rnacentral:rRNA from 1 species